CAAAAAUCUAACUUCAAGUGCCGGGGCAGGAGGACUAACACGAUAAAUCUGAGAGACUGUAAGAGUCCAUUGGCUGAGAACUGUACUGUAGGCCGGCAUACAGAACACCUCCAUCUAACUGGACGUGUCUUUCAGAGUCUCUUGGGUCCUCCUGUCCCAGGGAUUUUUGAGGGAAGAGCCAUGAUUAAAAGAUUGCUACUUAGAUUCAGAAGGUUGUUGGAGCCGGGGCCGUGGAUAAGCCGAGAUGAAUAUGGCAACAUGGAGAUUAUUAAUUUGUGUAAU